rnacentral:rRNA from 1 species
CCCUUAGAUGUUCUGGGCCGCACGCGCGCUACACUGAUGCAUUCAACGAGUCUAAAACCUGCUCUGAUAGGGGUGGGUAAUCUUUUGAAUGUGCAUCGUGAUUGGGAUAGAUGAUUGCAAUUUUUCAUCUUCAACGAGGAAUGCCUAGUAAACGCAAGUCAUCAGCUUGCAUUGAUUACGUCCCUGCCCUUUGUACACACCGCCCGUCGCUCCUACCGAUUGAAUGAUCCGAUGAAUAUCAUGGAUUGAGGAUUAUAGCAGGUUCGCCUGUCUUGAUCUUCGAGAAGUGAAGUAAAUCUUAUCAUUUAGAGGAAGGAGGAGUCGUAACA